CAAGGUGGGUUUCGCCUUGUUUCGGUGCGAUCGGAUUACCGACGGAGAUGAAAAUAUCUCAAGCCCUCCUCGAUUCCUUUCACUCCCCCACGACCCCGCCGCCGCCGCCUCCUCUCCUGCUGCCGCCGCCGCGCCACCACAGCCACCUCCUCUCAUCUCUGCCUUCUCUCCUGCUGCCCCCGCCGCGCCACCGCAGCUGCCUCCUCUCAUCUCUGCCUCUCCUGUUGCCCCCGCCGCGCCAGGGCCUCGCCUCGCCCUCAAGUGCACCGUCGACCUCCCAGACCUUGUUCUCCGCCUCGUCGCACUGACCACCUUGAGCUCGAGCCGAGGAGCGGCCCGUGUCGCGUGGUGGCCAGAUGCGGCGGCCCCAUGCUCAAGCGCGGUGCUGGUGAACGCGAGGAGCAGCAGCCACUAAAGGACGCGGUGGUCCGUGCCGUCGCCGUCGCCGUCGUCUACCGGCAGAAGGUCAAGCCAAGAUGAAUCAACAACACUACAACUGAAACGACCAUAGGUCCUGGAGCCGAGGUGUUCGAUAAAAGCAAAAUGGUGGAUCUAUCACUUCUCUCCUCGUUCGGUCAGAAGGAGCAGUGAGACCGGAGCUGCGGAGAGCCGGAGUCAGGGACAAGAAGCAGCAGGGACCGGGCUUCCGCUGCAGUGGAGUGGAGCUGCAGGGAGAGGAAGGAAGCACCAGAAUUGUUAAUUUGCUUCUGCACUCACCAGGGAUGUAGAUCUCCGGUUCCAGAGGCCGGAUCACCCCUUUCCUCUGAACCUUGUUCUGGAGCAAGAACUGCAACAGAAGAUGGGAUGAAUUAACACAUGUUCCUUUCUGAUGUAGGUGCAGGAUGUCUGUGUGUGUGUGUUGUGCUUGGAGUGCAGUAGUACCAGGGCUCCUAUCGCUGCCAGUACCCCGACGGUGAAGGCCAUGGCGGUGGUCAACCUGCUGUUCUCAAUCUUUCAGAACUCCAGCUGCGUCGCUUGGUGCUUCUCGGUGGGUCGCCCGUCGGGGUACUCCACCUCGACUUCAUGGUGGAGUAGUACCAUAUCCUGAAUCGUGGGAGCAGAGCAAACAUUUAGCUCAUCAUGGUCCAAGCCAUUCUCUGUUCGGAGUCGGGGACAAGAAGCAGCAGGGACCGGGCUCCCGCUGCAGUGGAGUGGAGCUGCAGGGAGAGGAAGAAAGCCGGUGACAGAAGAAAAGAAGAUGCCGGCUCUGGUUCAUCAUGGAGAAACAGCUGCUCGCCCUCCUCCGCCUCUUCCCUAACCAUGGGUUCGUGAGACAAUGCCAACGAAUUGUCGGUCACGGGUACCGAGUCACUCUCAUGUGAGGUAAUUUUAACUUCUCAGUUGGAUAUUAGUCAACAUCCUUCAAGUUAGGAAUGUUCAGUGUCCCCAUAUCUAAUUUAUCUUCUUGGUUACCCUUGCUCCACGUUCCUCUGCUCCCCCCUUGCGUGUUGACAAUGGAGGCUUUACAUCACAGUGUGAGGCAGUGGUGCCUGCAAUAAGUGUAGAUGACGAGGAAGAGCUGCAUCCACUAGGUCUCUUCUCCAUGGUCGUUGUGUUCCCAAGCCCAUGUGAACUUUUUAUCUUUUUUAUUUCUUCACUUCCAUUUCUCCACUUUUCUAGGCCAAGAACCGUCUUCACUUUUCAGGUUGCUGCUGCUACAAAUCCAAAUAAUUGUUUUGUUAUCCAUGGUGCUUCUCAAUGUUCAAAAAAGCAGAAAGCUUAAGCGGAGCGGAAGGCCACAACUCAGAGCAAUGGGCGCUUAAGCGUAAGCGCGUUUAAGCGUUUUUUUUAAAUUGGCCAGAAUCUGACUGUUUCUGAGUAAUAUGCAGGGAAAAUAGGAAAGUUCUCUCUCUUCUACUGAUGCAAUAGCACCAUCAUCAUUACUAGCAUUAUCUCCUUUGUAAAUUGGAGUUGUUAUUUUUGCUUGGAAGUGAAGUUGUUACCUUUGUUUCUUUGUUAGUAAGUGUAAAUAUAAAAUUUGAUGUCCAUAUUUUUUGCAAAUGAUGUCUCCAUCGGGUACGGGUGUUUUCUUUUGCCAUUUGCCAAUUAUACUUGCCCCCUUUUGCUACUCAAAUGCCGAUGAUGAAUUAAAAAAUAAGAUGCACUGGAGAUGGGUCUAUACAGUACCUAAAGGAUGUAAUAGUUUUCCAUUGGUUCAAAGUGAUGUGAUUAUGUUGUGAUUUUCAGAAUUGCUACUCCAGUUUUGUUCACCAUUCAUAGAACAACACUCUGCUGGUCUUGCUAUUCGCCAUUUUCCUCCCCACUAUAAUGCUGCCACUCUGUGAUGCCUCGGCAAGAAGGCCAAUCGCAGGGAGAUACGCUAUGGCAUGUCCUGAAGAGGCAAUCAGGUAUUUCGGUGGCCUCAAGCCCUCAACCCUCUGGAUCAUCCGUCCGUUGUGCGUGCUCUCAUCCGGGUUGCCGAGGGACGCUUCCUCCUGCGGCGCUCCUGUCCAAUUUUUUGUUUAUGUAAAAAAAUUCUUACCAUCACCUCACCUAUUUGGAAAAUUAGGUGAGCUCUGCAAUUUGGUUCUGUAUCCUUAAAGAGGGAACACAUUUUUCCUUAGUCAUGCUACCAUAGUAACAUAAACUCUUACUCCAUAGUUACAAUCCCUAAAUUGUGGUGAGAUGCAAUGCUAAGCAAAUGGAAGAUAACAGUUUGUACCAUCAAAAGUUCAAUUACAGUAUUUUGCCCCACUAAAAGAGAUGGAUAUUAGCAUUGUCCGUGGUGCAUUUUGUUUGCAUUUCCUGUGAUAGAAACGGGUGCAUUUCGUUUACAUUUUGCCAUGCCGGAUUUUAGAUACGAUGUUGAUGCCUACAAUUCGUUUUACUGAAUUUAUGUGGCAGAUGAGAACUGAUACAUUACUGCCCUCAAUCCUUGUGCUUUUCUGUAUAUUUAGGAACAUGAUACUACACUUGAUCUUUUCGUAAAAUAAAAACUGCUUGCAACAGAGAUGAUGCUUGUGAUUUUAGUCAGCUAAUGUUGAUACUAUAUGGGAUUUUUUUUUAUUGAAGGAACUGUGCACAUAAUGAACCAUAUAUUUCUUAUCCAGUUAUGUAUGCUCAUUACUAAUCUGAUGUGUUGUUUUCUUGUGAUGGACACUGUUGCAUUUGUUGUCCAUUUUUGCCAUCUUCAGCUUCAGGUAUCUGCUUUAUGUGGAAAUAUGCCAAUGGAUAAUAUCCUCCGGAUUAACAAGUUCCUGUGUGCUGCUGCUCUUAUUAUCUACCUGGUAGUCUUGUCUGACACUUCUAUUAAUGGCUUUUUCCUCUGGAGUACCAAGAAAAAUAGCAGUUAAUUUUUUUUUCUUUUUGUGACUUCUUAAAUGUUUGUUUCUUGGAUGAGUCCACUCAUUUGGUAUUUCUCUGUGCUAUUGAAAAUUCUGUGAUGCUUACUGUCUAGCUGAUUUUUGUAGACCAUUAGUUAAGAAGGUUGUUGAUUAUAAAAAUGGCACCAUAAUCUGUCAUAUGGUGGUAGGAAAUGUGGUUACAUGGAAUUCUUUAUCUUCUUAGAUAAAGAACUAUUAUCAAAUAAAAUCUGUAUAUGAAUUUCCGUGUCUCUUGGUUAUUUUAUAUGUACGUUAUAUUAUUCCUAACCAAUUUCUUAGUAUUACUUAGGGUUUGUUUGUUUGGGCUGCCAUUUCCAUGGCUGAAGCUGAAGGAGCGGCUGUAGCUGGUAAUGAAGAGAGGCACUUUGCAUUUCUCCACCAGAAGUAUAGAUCGGUAAAGUACAGAGAAGCUUCAGAGCAUGGUAGCAUUGUUUAUGAGAAGAAUCCAGGACGGACUGAUAACCUACUUCUUCUUGGAGUUAUCUACUGUCAGUUUAUGACUUGGUGCUAGCCGGAGCUUUUAUUUUCUACCAAAACUACUAUUAACAAAAGAACUCUAGCGAUCCAGGAUUUUAUCCUAAGCUGCUAUUAAACUCACAAGAGGGAGCAUUUAAUAACAAAAGAACUCUAGCCAUGCUUUUUGAUAUACUACGCAUAUGUAUGAUGUACUAGCAGUUCCUAUUUUUUAACUAUUGUGUACCAGAGAAUUGAAUUAGCUAUUUCUGCAUAAAUAUGAUGUAUGAAAUUAUGUCAUGAGAGGGAUGUGUUCAUUUUCAAAACUAAGUUGGAUGAGCUUAAAGCACUUAUUCACCAGUACAAGUUAAAUAUGCUUUUAAAGUUUUAAAUACAUUUAUUUUUUUAGAGUACAUCAUCUUUUAUUUCUAAAGGAAUACUGGAUAUGCUCAUUUCUAUAGCCACAGUACAAGUUAAACCAUCCCAACUCCAUAGCAGAGCUACUCCAAACAGAACUGGAAUGAUUAUAUUUUUUUAUGGAUUUUACAAAUUCAGCAGGUUGAGCAUUUUUUUUUUGUGAUUUUCAUACUCAGCGACAACUUGA